GAUGAAGAACGCAGCGAAAUGCGAUACGUAAUGUGAAUUGCAGAAUUCAGUGAAUCAUCGAAUCUUUGAACGCACAUUGCGCCCGCCAGCACUCUGGCGGGCAUGCCUGUUCGAGCGUCAUUUCAACCAUCAAGCCCCAGGCUUGCGUUGGAGCCCUGCGGCUGCCGCAGCCUCCUAAAAGCAGUGGCGGGCUCGCUAUCACACCGAGUGCAGUAGAUUACUCUUCGCUCAGGGCGUGCAGCGGGUUCCGGCCGUGUAACCCCCUACUUUUAAAGGUUGACCUCGGAUCAGGUAGGAAUACCCGCUGAACUUAAGCAUAUCAAUAAGCGGAGGA
rnacentral:misc_RNA from 1 species